rnacentral:lncRNA from 1 species
UCGACUCAUCACUCUCUACAACUCCUUGUUCUCCUUUAUGUGAUUCAUCUCUCUCUCUCUCUCUCUCUCUCUCUCUCUCUCUCAAGGGUGUUCAAAACCGAACCAAUCCAAUAGAAAACUGCAAACCGAACCAAUCCAAAUCAAAUCCGCAAAAAACCGCAUUUGGUUUGGAUAUAUUCGGAUCACUUUUUUACUCAACCGCAUGGUUUGGUUUGGUUUGCAGUUUUACUUUUACCAACCAAACCAAUCGCGACAUAAGGAAAACACUAAUUAAAUCUAUGUCACCUAGACCAAUAUUCAUAGAAACUCAAUGAAAACUUUUAUAAAAUGAUAUUGUUUCUCUUGUUAAGUUUCUUCUUUUCUUUUAUUUUAAAAAUGUAUUUAUGUGCUACUUGAACUUGGGUAGCACUUGGGUGACAUUGUGAUUGG